AAAAGGCACACAUUGGCAUUGCUUUGGCUGGCAACGGCACAUGGCGAACAGCAAUAGCGUAGGAGACAGAGACGGCGCACAUCAGCGUUUCUUUGUUGAAGUGACAGUGGUGAUAGUUAUGCGGCUGUGUCAUAGAUAGUUGUACAAAGGUGAUAGUUAGUGAAUAGAUGUAUAGAAAGAUAUUAGGUAUUUGCACAUAUUAUUUAUAAAAAUAAAGAUUUAUUACUAAUUCGAUUAACAGUCCAUGGAAGG
rnacentral:lncRNA from 1 species